CUCCUCCUUCUUCUUCUUCCUCUACUUCUUCUUCUUCUUCUUCCUCUACUUCCUCUUUUACUUCUCGUUCGUCUCUUUUAUGAUUUUUGUCCGUUCUUCCGUUCGGUCGCGUUAAAAUGAUAACAGUAGUAGGAUUCUACUUGCCCAAGUAGAAGAACGGUCUGUUCUUGUUUCGGUCUCGGGUUCGCAUUCGCGCAACCGAGACACGGACCGGCCGUCGAGUGGCCGCACUGACAUCGGGCUUCCGUCCCGAAGAGCUGCGCAUGCGGCACCAGCCGAGUGAUCGCACCCUUCCACUGCCGUAUCAUCCUCGGCUUGGUACCACCAUGGAUACCCUCUUAUUAUCAUACAACUUUCUUAUUCCUUUUUUCCUAUCCUCACCUUUCCCGUUUCUCCGAUAAUCCCUCAUUUCAUUCUAUUAUUCCAUACUGUUACUCGCUAAUGAAACAAUUGUUAUUUUUAAACCUACGCGAUUAGGGAGAGGAGAAUGUUAUUCGAAUCAUCAGUUUUCCCGGGUUACCAAAGAUUCAUCUUCCAUCAUUGCCCUCGUCGUCACCGUCAACGUAGUGCACGUAGUCGCGCUUGCUCUUUGUCGUCCUAUCUUUCCCUCUCCUUCUCACCCUAUCCUUCUUUCUCUUUCGAGAAGUCGACUCAGUCGCGUCCAAACGCGCUCCACCCUGCUGCUGCUUGCGAUCAGAUGUUCAACAUUUCCUUCUUUCGUCUUCUCUUGCUUUUUAGGUCCUUUGGGAUUUCAAUUUAAAACCUAUCCGAAUAUUCCUCGAUUCUGCGAUUAUUUUUUCGUUCUUUCAUUCGAUAUUUAUUUGAACAAGAGAGGAAAGGAAGAGGACGCGCGUUUCCCGCUUUUCUACUUACUCUCUAUAUUGUUUUAUUUCGAUUUUAAAUAUUAUCGGAAAAUAAUCGAAUAAUCCAUGGUAAUUUUGUUACGAUCGUUCAUUGCGAUCCAUAUCAAGAAUGAACGAAGCGUACAAUGAACGUCGUUAUUGGUCCUUUUUAAUGGGUAUACUUGUUUGUUUAUCGCGCAUCUACGAGAUCAAAUUGGGCUGGUUGGUUGUCGAAAAAGGAUUAGAAGAACGUGAAGACGUCAUCGUUGUCGAACCGUUGUACGAUAACGAUGACGAGGCAACGUCGUGCUGAAAAUGUGUUGAACGCGCCGACGCGCAUCAUCCACCUCCUUUGGUAUCGGUUAUUCUCUUAACAUUCCUUUCGCCUAGCUUGUGCUAAGAGAUUUGAUAUUUAUCAGCACAUUAUAAUGAUUAUUUUCUACUCGACACCACUUUUAUAGUAUAGCUCUAAUAACGAAACAUAAAUUACGAUGCUAAAGUAAGUCUAGCAUAACAGAAUCUACCAUAUCAUUGUCAAUAUUCCUGUGAUCCAACACAAAAGAAAUGUAUGAAAGCGAAUGAAACUUCCGCGUUAAUCGCAUGACAGGGUGGUGGUGGUGGUGGUGGUGUUUGUGAUUUUUCAAUAACGGAACGAGUGGGAAUCCUAGAGAGAAAUGUUUCCCGUCCUUUCCGAGUAAUCUUCGUCCCACAUUCUUCUUGCGCGUUUUUUUAACGACGUUCAACGUUCUAUUCAUUCGUACGAACCAAUACGGUGCCACGUACGCAACCACGCAUGCAACACAGCCACACACGCAGUCUUGCAAGCACGCACGCACGUGCCUACCACAAAGUUAGACGUUUCUGACGCGCGUUAUAUUGUCCGACGAAGCAUAAAUUAUACUACUCAAACGACCUCGAUCUAUCUUACAAAGGGAGGAUUAGACCUGUAGGACAGACCGAUUUUUUUAUAUGGGUCUAUUAGGAGCGUACACUGUGCAAACAUAGUUAAUAUGAGCCGCCAGCAGUGCAGCUGACAACGGCCUAGAUUUGUAACCGCGAGAUCGCUAAAUCGAAUCUCCCUUACAUUGGACGACUUUUUUUUUCACUUUAAUUUACAUUUUAUUUCCGUAGCUUUUCUAUUUUCGUUAGUAUAAAAUAUGUUUUGUUUUUAUAUAAAGAAGCUAUUUAAAGGGCUUUCGUAACAGGCGGAUGUUACUUGAAGAGGAAGAUAUCGAAAAAUAACACUACGAAUAAAAUAUAUUUUACAAUAACGGAAAAAUAAGAAAAAUACAGAAAUUAAAUUUAAAUUAAAGUAAAAAAAACAAAAGUCGUCCGAGUCGUUGUUAAUUUCAUGCACGAAGGGAUAGGAUCGAGUCAAGUUCGUGCAAUCGGUAGGCAUCGUCUAAGAUGAUAAAAACUGAUCGAAUAUAUUUAUUCUUAUAUUUGUUUUAUUUAUUAUGGACGGAGCACAAAGCAUCAUUUGCAAUCAAUGCAGUCUUAACAUAAAAUACAUACAUAUUUUAAUCUUAACAUUGGUAAAUGUUUUUCUAUCAAUUUGCAUGUAUUUUCUAUAAACGUGUGCAGCAGUUGAACACACACAGUUUACAUAGAACGUAAAAUAUUUUAAAACCUAUUUUUAAUUACAUUGCAAUGAAAAAUAUCUGCAUAUUAGGAUAAAGUCAAAACUACGCAAAAAAAAA